AUUGAACGCUGGCGGCAUGCCUUACACAUGCAAGUCGAACGGUAACAGGUCUUCGGAUGCUGACGAGUGGCGAACGGGUGAGUAAUACAUCGGAACGUGCCUAGUAGUGGGGGAUAACUACUCGAAAGAGUGGCUAAUACCGCAUGAGAUCUACGGAUGAAAGCAGGGGAUCGCAAGACCUUGUGCUACUAGAGCGGCCGAUGGCAGAUUAGGUAGUUGGUGGGAUAAAAGCUUACCAAGCCGACGAUCUGUAGCUGGUCUGAGAGGACGAUCAGCCACACUGGGACUGAGACACGGCCCAGACUCAGACGGGAGGCAGCAGUGGUGAAUUUUGGACAAUGGGCGCAAGCCUGAUCCAGCAAUGCCGCGUGCAGGAUGAAGGCCUUCGGGUUGUAAACUGCUUUUGUACGGAACGAAAAGCCCUGGGUUAAUACCCUGGGGUCAUGACGGUACCGUAAGAAUAAGCACCGGCUAACUACGUGCCAGCCGCCGCGGUAAAAC
rnacentral:rRNA from 1 species